AGACAGAUUUUGGAUGGACGGGGGUGAUGUGUCAAUAUGCGCUCGUUAACAUGCAUAAUGUCCUUUCAAAAUGAACGUGUGUUUUCACAGGAAGUUAGGUUUAAGCAACACAACCACUUAGUUAGGGUUAGGAAACGGUUGUGGUUGAUGUUAACUUCACUGACUAAUGACUCA